UACGUAGGCAGCAAGCGUUGUUCGGAGUUACUGGGCGUAAAGGGUGUGUAGGCGGUUCUUUAAGUUUGGUGUGAAAUCUCCCGGCUCAACCGGGAGGGUGCGCCGAAUACUGAGGGACUAGAGUGCGGGAGAGGAAAGUGGAAUUCCUGGUGUAGUGGUGAAAUGCGUAGAUAUCAGGAGGAACACCGGUGGUGUAGACGGCUUUCUGGACCGUAACUGACGCUGAAACACGAAAGCGUGGGUAGCAAACAGG
rnacentral:rRNA from 1 species